GAUGAACGCUGGCGGCGUGCUUAACACAUGCAAGUCGAGCGGAAAGGCUCCUGCUUGCAGGGGUUCUCGAGUGGCGAACGGGUGAGUAACACGUGGGUGAUCUGCCCUGCACUUCGGGAUACGCCUGGGAAACUGGGUCUAAUACCGGAUAGGACGACGGUAUGGAUGCCAUUGUGGAAAGUAUUUCGGUUUGGGAUGACCUCGCGGCCUAUCAGCUUUUUGGUGGGGUAAUGGCCUACCAAGGCGUCGACGGGUAGCCGGCCUGGGAGGGUGUCCGGCCACAGUGGGACUGAGAUACGGCCCAGACUCCUACGGGAGGCAGCAGUGGAGAAUAUUGCACGAUGGGCGCCAGGCUGAUGCAGCGACGCCGCGUGGGGGAUGACGGCCUGCGGGUUGUAACCUCCUUGCGCUAGGGACGAAGCGCAAGUGACGGUACCUGGAGAAGAAGCACCGGCUAACUACGUG
rnacentral:rRNA from 1 species